ensembl:lncRNA
AAGAUAAGGUGGAGGCUCUGGCAAAAACAUUUGUAAACGUUCAUAGCUCUACAAAUCUGACACCUGAUGCAAGGAAAGGUAGAGAUGAAGUAAUGAGAGAACACUAACAUACUAAUGGAAAAGGAUGAUUUUAAUGGAACAAUAAAUGUUCCCUUUUCUUUAUUUGAGCUGAAAAGAGCAUUGGUAGGAGCCAGAGCAACGUCCCUUGGUAAGGAUGAAAUAUGUUAUAAAAUGGUUGAAAACUUAAAUCAUCAAGCACAGUUGGUGAUCCUGCAGCUAUAUAAUAAGGUGUGGGAGUUAAGUGUAUUGCCGUCAGCAUGGAAACACUCUGUUGUUAUCCCAAUUGGGAAAUCAGGGAAAGAUAAAGGCGAAACAACUAGCUAUAGACCUAUCGCACUAACAUCUAAUUUAUGUAAAAUAAUGGAAAGUAUGGUCACUGACAGGUUAACUUACAUAUUAGAGAGUAGGAAUUUGCUAAUACCACAACAGAGUGGUUUCCGUAGAGGGAGGUCAACUAUGGAUCCAGUGAUAUGUUUGGAGGAUGAAAUUAGGAAGGCUCAGGCUAAAAAGGAACUAGUAGCUGCUGUCUUCUUUGAUGUGGAGAAGGCCUAUGAUAUGUUAUGGAAAGAGGUUCUUCUUAUUAAAUUAGAAUCCAUGGGAAUUGGUGGAAGAAUGUUCAACUGGAUUAUGAAUUUUCUGAAGGACAGGACUAAGUACAGUAUAUGGAGUACAGUAUCUUACUCCAAUGUUUACUCUAUAGAAAAUGGGGUACCACAAGAAAGUGUAUGUAGUCCUAUUUUAUUUAAUACCAUGAUUAAUGAGUUUUUUUCAGAGGUUGAUGCUAGCCUUGGGAGGUCUUUAUAUGCAGAUGAUGGGGCAAUAUUUGUAAGGGGUCGUAAUGCAGCAUUUGUUGGAAAGAAGCUACAGGCAGCAGUCAGCACUGUUGAGAAGUGGGGAAACAGGUGGGGUUGUCGGUUUUCUGUGGACAAGACACAGGUUAUUUGUUUCUCUAAGAAGCAUAUUAAUCCUGCAAUACAAGUUACUCUUGAUGGGCAAUCAGUUAAGCAGGUUGAAAAUAUAAGGUUUUUAGGUGUGUGGAUGGACCAUAAGCUGACAUUUGGAGAUCAUAUACAAAAAAUGUUACCAAAUGCAAGAAGGCAGUCAAUGUUAUGAGAUGCCUGGCAGGAAAUGGUUGGGGUGCUA